AACGAACGCUGGCGGCAUGCCUAACACAUGCAAGUCGAACGAGACCUUCGGGUCUAGUGGCGCACGGGUGCGUAACGCGUGGGAACCUGCCUUUAGGUUCGGAAUAACUCAGAGAAAUUUGAGCUAAUACCGGAUGAUGUCUUCGGACCAAAGAUUUAUCGCCUUUAGAUGGGCCCGCGUUGGAUUAGCUAGUUGGUGGGGUAAAGGCCUACCAAGGCGACGAUCCAUAGCUGGUCUGAGAGGAUGAUCAGCCACACUGGGACUGAGACACGGCCCAGACUCCUACGGGAGGCAGCAGUGGGGAAUAGUGGACAAUGGGCGAAAGCCUGAUCCAGCAAUGCCGCGUGAGUGAUGAAGGCCUUAGGGUUGUAAAGCUCUUUUACCCGAGAUGAUAAUGACAGUAUCGGGAGAAUAAGCGCCGGCUAACUCCGUG
rnacentral:rRNA from 1 species